AACUCCCUAACGCGUUACCCACGCACCCUCUUUCCCCAACUUCCCCCUCCUCUUCGUCAAUAACCUCCCUCACUCAGAAUAUGACUUCAUAGUUCAAAAAUUACCCAAAUGAAAACUCUAGCUUCGUGCACGGUGCUUCCCCUGCCGUCCGUGGUUGCUGGCGGCUCCACUCCUUCAUCCUCCCCCCAUACCAAAUCAUCCUCUUUUGGCUUGGCACGUGGUAUCCAUCUCCCGUGGCUUCUGUGUUUGACGAUUGAAGCUGCUCGCCGGCGUGUGGUUCGUCUCGCCGCCCGCCAUCCUUUGUCAUCCGACUCUCCGUGGAUGAUUUCCAUGCACAAGGAUCUGAUUAUCUUUAACAUGAUAGGAAAGAAUGUGAGACCAAUAAAGGUGUUGUGGUGCAAGAUGCGAACGACUCAAUGGACGUAAUGUUCUCCCAGGAGUGUGGUGUUGUAGCAAAUCCAAGUGCAGUUGAGACCAAGGUGCCCACAUCCAAUGCUCAGGAAGACUUCAUUAUUGGUCAUGCUAGUCCUACGGAUAUAGUUGCUAAUUCGGAGGAGGCUAAGUCCCCAAGGCUAGUUACAGAGCCAGUUGUGAAAAGAAGGAGGCUCUUUCAGUCGCCGAUGGUGAGACAACAUGAAUCCACACCCUCCAGGCGGUCAAGGGCUACUAGCUCUGCUUUGAGUGCAUCACGGAAGGUAACUAAGGUUCCUAAGUUGAAGUUCAAGGCAAUCUAUGACAUGGACUUUAAUCGGGCAGACACUCUACUAUUCAACUACUUGUUUUCCGAUAGCCACUCAUUGGAUGAAACUGUUGUGAGGACGGUACAAUAUAGGUUGACUAGGCGCCAUAUCCAAAGCCUGGUCCCUGGCCGUCCUAUUGAUAGGAGAGUUGUAGAAAUGGUGGUCGUGUGCAACAUCUGCUCAAUAUAGCAUAUGAAGCAUCCACAUUUUUUGUGUCUCCCUCCUAGCUUUGUGGUGCAUUUGUAUAUUCUUCAAUAGUCAGUACCAUAACAGAGUUCUAGUAUGUUGAAGUUAAUUUCAGCUGCUUUGAUGUAUUAAUUUGGAAAUUGCAGGAGGACGUUAGUAAAGGACUAUCUACUGAGGAACUAACUGAGACUUAUGUCCCUUUUUGGGUCAAACCAAGCAGAUUCAUUAGACGUGUUAGCAAAGAGUUUAAUUUGUAUGCCUUCCUUUUUAUCUUGGAAAGCUUUAUGAAAUGAUGACUUCAUUGAGCUAUGGGCUUCUCCGAGCUUUCACGCCACCAGACCUGGGUAGAUGGCUAAUUAGGAAAGGCAAUGGGGUCCCCAAUUACAAUACAAGUGAUAGCUCUGGUGCUUGGGUUAUUUCUUGGCUCCAUCCUUCAACCACUUGUGCAUCAGUGGAGUGGUAAGGAAGACCUUUUUAUUAAUGAAAUGUGCUAAAAAAAUCUUCAUCGGUUUAGUUUGAUAAUAAUUCAAUCUUUUUACUUGACUUUGGCAACUUGAGGAUCCUAUAGUCUGAGGCACCACAGCUGUCUCCCUUGUUGGGGGACCGUUUAAUGCCAUUGGUGGCUUAGUUAGGAUGUGGGCUUAGAAUUGGCAAAGUCGCAGACCUCCGUGAGUAAACCACAAGCCGGAUGGCUGGCCAAGGGAGACUAUCGUUGUGUAAGUUAUUAUGCAUCUUUAGCAUAUUGCUCAUGAUAGCUAUUCAGCUCAUGACCCCAGUAAGCUUCUGAGGGGCUAUGUUCUUAGAAUCAUUUAGUUUCUUUUUUAUGUUUAGUAUUAAAUGUAAUUUGUCUCCCUAGGUUGAGUUUGUGUGCCAUGUUGAUGAAGAAAAUUAACUUAUAGAGAGUUUUGUUUGUAUUAAGGUUUUUAUGUGAUGUUUGUGAUGUUGACUAGUAAGCUUACUUUUAUUCAUACCAUAUUUUUAAGGAUGACAGAUGGUGCAGGGAUAUCUGCAAAAUCUAUAAAAAAAAAAACUGCCAAAGUGUAGUCUAGAUUUGUCUAUAUUUUUUUUUCAACGAGGAAUCAAUCUUAUUCUCCAAUUAUAGUGAUAAGGGGAUUAGUUAUCGUAGCUUUAUAGGUUUUGGUAGUUAAACAAAAAUAUGUAAUAACAGGGACAAAGAACAUGUUAUAAUUUGUAAUUUAAGCUUAGUAAUUUGUUUACAUAAGAGUUAUGGGUAUAAUAUGGUACUAUGCGUAGGUCUUCUAUUGUAUCAUAUAAUGAUAUAAAAUAUAGCAUGAUAUAGUCAGCACAUAGCCCAAUAAAUUGGUUUGAGGCAUAAAGAAUGAGGCAUAAUUUUGGGCCCACAAUCACGAAGAGUGAUUAUAUGACAUGCUACUUCAGUAUGUAAAUUAUAUUUUAUGUAUUGUCAUUUUUUAUUAAGUGAUUGCAUAGAAAAUUAUUUUUUAUUAAUGGUCUGUGUUAAUCCUCGUAUGAUGUAAUAGCAGCAACUCUGGUUAGAACAGUCUCGUGAUAUUGACGUAUAAUAACACUUAGGAGCUAUAACAUCCUAAGGUCAACCAAUUACCUAAGAUUUAUCUGAUUAUUUGGGCCUUUGUAAGUUGGAAAUGGGACUGUGACAAUUUGUAUCCUGCAUGGCAAAUUGGUAAUUAGUCUCACCCUUUAGAAGGUAUUAAAAGAGGCACUCACCAUAUACUCACACAAACAUAUUCACACACAAAAGAAAAGAGAUGUCAUUUGAGGAAGAGUCCCCUGAGGAAAGAGAGGUCUCCAUGGCCACUCAAGAGGGAGAGAUCCUUGUGGCCAUAGACAUGCCUCUAAUACUGGAAGGGGCAAUGUUAACACAACUUUGUCAAGAAGAUAAGAAUCCAGUGAAGGACAAUGUUAUCUCUACUCUGAAAGAACUAACUGCCACUAUCGAAGUACUAACGUCGAAGAUGGAUGCAUAUGAAGGGCGUCAACAACAACGUGACCAUACUCUAUCCAUGCUAUGCUCCACUGUUGUAGCCAUUGAGCAUAACUUUAACAACACAACAUUUCACAAGGGUGUCAACGAUGCAGCAUUUGAAGCCAGCAAAAGGCCAAGGCGGAGAAUGACGUUUCCAAAGUCACCGGCAACGUGCCAACAAUGAGUACACCCAUGAUGAACCAUUUCGUCGUAGGUUGCAGCAACUUUGUUGACCUCGAGAGAACCGUUGACGUUUCUGAUGAGCGGAUAAUUUGUAUACUUUUUGGCAUUGUUUUUAGUAUUUUCUGGCUGAAAUUGAGGGACCUGAGCAAAAAUCUGAUCCAGAGACUCAAAAGGACUGCAGAUGCUGUUGGAUUCUGACCUCCCUGCACUCAAAGUGGAUUUUCUGGAGCUACAGAAGCCCAAUUGGCGCGCUCUCAACGGCGUUGGAAAGUAGACAUCCUGGGCUUUCCAGCAAUAUAUAAUAGUCCAUACUUUGCCUAAGAUUUGAUGGCCCAAACCGGCGUUCAAAGUCACCUCAAGAAAUUCCAGCGUUAAACGCCGGAACUGGCACCCAAAUGGGAGUUAAACGCCCAAACUGGCACCAAAGCUGGCGUUUAACUCCAAGAAGAGUCUCUACACGAAAUUGCUUCAUUGCUCAGCCCAAGCACACACCAAGUGGGCCCGGAAGAGGAUUUUUAUGUCAUUUACUCAUUUCUGUACACCCUAGGCUACUAGUUUCUUAUAAGUAGGACCUUUCACUAUUGUAUAGAAAUCUUUUUGAUCACUUUUAGAUCUCUAGAUCAUCUUUGGACAUUUUAGUUCUUAGAUCAUUGGGAGGCUGGCCAUUCGGCCAUGCCUAGACCUUAUGCUUAUGUAUUUUCAACGGUGGAGUUUCUACACACCAUAGAUUAAGGUGUGGAGCUCUGCUGUACCUCGAGUAUUAAUGCAAUUACUAUUGUUCUUUCAUUUAAAUUCUGCUUGUUCUUUAUCCAAGAUAUCACUUGAUCUUCAACAUGAUGAAGGUGAUGAUUGACGCCCAUCACCAUUCUCACCCAUGAACAAGGUGACUGACAACCAUUCUUGUUCUACAAGCAUCUGA